rnacentral:lncRNA from 1 species
AUGUGGUUCAUCAGUAACGGUCGCGCCGGACCCGUUACUGAUGUGCCGUUGCAUAUAGACCAUUUUGUAGUAGCGUAUGGUUACAUCAAGAGUAAAAUUGGCUAGUUAGUUAAAAAAAAGAGUAAAGUUGGUUUGACUUUGAAUACAAAGGCUUUCUGGUUGGAAUUUGUUAGUAUCCUGGAUUUGGUUCCCUAGUUAUUCCCUCCAAUUCAUCA